rnacentral:rRNA from 1 species
GCGACCUCAGCUCARGCGGGGCU